AUAGUUGUUGACGGGAAUAGUAGCAACAACGGCAUUGUCGUUAACAGGGAUCCCUUCUGGUGACGCACGGUAGACGGGUGGAAUCACAACUUCCUGUCUCUGGGCUAAGGCACGCAACUCCUCUUGCCCUUGCACAACACCCUGCAUCAUGCUCAUGAAUUGGGCCAUGUUAGCCCUCAUCUCUGCCAACUCAGCUUGAACUUGGUCCAUGUUUCUCUGUUGAUUCAGUCUGGUAGCG
rnacentral:lncRNA from 1 species